CCUCGUGUCAGCCACACACUUCCCCCUUGCUCCCUCUGCCCUGCAGCUCCGUUCACCUGCCCGCACCGCUGCAGGAGUGUCAUAUUUCAGCGAUGAGGCAACUUUGCACCAAUGAGCUGCGGUGAGAACGGUUAGGGAGCGUGGUGGGAACUCUCCUCCCAUCGCUUGCCUCUCUACCUGGGAACCGAGGCAGCCUCAGGGAAGGACCGCCUAUCCGCCCGCUGUCUGAAUGAACAGCAAACAAAAAAACUCUCACCAACAGUCUCUGGUUUACAGCAGUUCUGCACAGAAGAAGGAGAUGUUUGCUCAUUCUCUCACCAGAAGGGGGCUGGUUGAAGGCAAUCGCAGUGAGCAAAUAUGAUCUGGAGGUCGUGCCGUAACCACAUGCGUGUUCCUGUCACGACUAUUAAAUUUAUUUGACGUGUGCAUUCUCA